rnacentral:tRNA from 1 species
GGGGUUGUGGCUCAGUGGUAGAGCGCUUGUCUAGCAUGCGUGAGGUGCUGGGUUCAACCCCCCAGCACCA